CUGCCUGCCAGAGAACAAACCCCCUUUGACUGUAAUUUUCCUUUACCUACCCAAAUCCUAUAAAACGGCCCCACCCUCAUCUCCCUUCACUGACUCUCUUUUCGGACUCAGCCCACCUGCACCCAGGUGAAAUAAACAACCAUGUUGCUCACACAAAGCCUGUUUGGUGUUCCCUUCACACGGACGUGCAUGAAAUUUGGUGCUGUGACUCAGAUCGGGGGACCUCCCUUGGGAGAUCAAUCCCCGUCCUCCUGUUCUUUGCUCCGUGAGAAAGAUCCACCUACGACCUCAGGUCCUCAGACCGACCAGCCCAAGAAACAUCUCACCAAUUUCAAAUCCGGUAAGCGGCCUCUUUUUACUCUCUUCUCCAACCUCCCUCACUAUCCCUCAACCUCUUUCUCCUUUCAAUCUUGGUGCCACAAUUCAAUCUCUCCCUGGCACCACAAUUCAAUCUCUCCCUUCUCUUAAUUUCAAUUCCUUUCAUUUUCUGGUAGAGACAAAGGAGACACGUUUUAUCCGUGGACCCAAAACUCCGGCGCCGGUCACGGACUGGGAAGGCAGCCUUCCUUUGGUGUUUAAUCAUUGCAGGGAUGCCUCUGAUUAUUCACCCACGUUUCAAAGGUGUCAGACCACGCAGGGAUGCCUGCCUUGGUCCUUCACCCUUAGCGGCAAGUCCCGCUUUUCUGGGGAAGGGUCAAGUACCCCAAUCCCUUCUCUCCUUGUCUCUACCCCUUCUCUGCUUUUCUGGGGGAGGGACAAGUACCCCUCAACCCCUUCUCCUUCACCCUUAGCGGCAAGUCCCGCUUUUCUACAGGGCAAGAACCCCCAACCCUUAUUUCCGCACCCCAACCUCUUAUCUCUGUGCCCCAAUCCCUUAUUUCCGUGCCCCAACCUCUUAUAUCUCUGCGCCCCAAUCCCUUAUUUCUGCACCCCAACCUCUUAUAUCUCUGUGCCCCAAUCCCUUAUUUCCAUGCCCCGACCUCUUAUCUCUGCACCCCAACCUCUUAUCUCUGUGCUCCAACCCCUUUUCCCACUUUUCUGGAAGGUAAGAACCCCUGAACCCCUUCCCUCCAUUUCUCUACUCUCUUUUCUCUAGGCUUGCUUCCUUCACUAUGGGCAACCUUCCACCCUCCAUUCCUCCUUCUACUCCCUUGGCCUGUGUUCUCAAAAACUUAAAACCUCUUCAACUCACACCUGACUAAAACCUAAAUGCCUUAUUUUCUUCUGCAAUGCUGCUUGACCCCAAUACAAACUUGACAGUAGUUCCAAAUAGCCAGAAAAUGGCACUUUGAAUUUUUCCAUCCUGCAAGAUCUAAAUAAUUCUUGUGGUAAAAUAGGCAAACGGUCUGAGGUGCCUGACAUCCAGGCAUUCUUUUACACAUCAGUCCCUUCCUAGUCUCUGUGCCCAGUGCAACUCGUCCCAAAUCUUCCUUCUUUCCCUCCCGCCUGUCACCUCAGUACUAACCCCAAGCGUCGCUGAGUCUUUCUAGAAUCUUCCUUUUCUACAGACCCAUCUGACCUCUCCCUUCCUCCCCAGGCUGCUCCUCGUCAGGCCGAGCUAGGUCCCAAUUCUUCCUCAGCCUCUGCUCCUCCACCCUAUAUAAUCUUUUUAUCACCUCCGCUCCUCACACCUGGUCCGGCUUACAGUUUCGUUCUGUGACUAGCCCUCCCCCUCCUGCCCAGCAAUUUACUCUUAAAAAGGUGGCUGGAGCUAAAGGCAUAGUCAAGGUUAAUGCUCCUUUUUCUUUAUCCCAAAUCAGAUAGCGUUUAGGCUCUUUUUCAUCAAAUAUAAAAAUCCAGCCCAGUUCGUGACUUGUUUGGCAGCAACCCUGAGACACUUUACAGCCCUAGACCCUAAAAGGUCAAAAGGCCGUCUUAUUCUCAAAAUACAUUUUAUUACCCAAUCUGCUCCCGACAUUAAAUAAAACUCCAAAAAUUAAAUUCCGGCCCUGAAACCCCACAACAUGAUUUAAUUAACCUCGCCUUCAAGGUGUACAAUAAUAGAAAAAACUUGCAAUUCCUUGCCUCCACUGUGAGACAAACCCCAGCCACAUCCCCAGCACAUAAGAACUUCCAAACGCCUGAACCACAGCGGCCAGGCGUUCCUCCAGAACCUCCUCCCCCAGGAGCUUGCUACACGUGCCGGAAAUCUGGCCACUGGGCCAAGGAAUGCCCGCAGCCUGGGAUUCCUCCUAAGCCGCGUCCCAUCUGUGUGGGACCCCACUGAAAAUCGGACUGUUCAACUCACCUGGCAGCCACUCCCAGAGCCCCUGGAACUCUGGCCCAAGGCUCUCUGACUGACUCCUUCCCAGAUCUUCUCGGCUUAGCGGCUGAAGACUGACACUGCCCGAUCGCCUCGGAAGCCCCCUAGACCAUCACGGACGCCGAGCUUCGGGUAACUCUCACAGUGGAAGAUUGUCUUACAGGUGGGCCAGUAUGUACAACCUAACACUGAGUUUUCAAGGAACAGGUUUCUGUUGCUGCUGCUCUAGCAUUCAUGCACUGUGGAGCCAGGAAACUUCUCGGGACAAGGAGCACAAUGCCAGGCCUUGUCGAGGGCCGCUGCAGUGGAGAGGCCAGACCGGGGGUGCCAGAGCCAACCGCAGACCAAGGAAGUGAACCCUGCACAUCCGGAUACUCGAAAUGUCAGCUUGUGGAGGAUCUCCCGCAGGAAUCUGACUUUAUACACAAACAAAGACAUUGAGCUUUCUGCUGAGGUGAGCUCAGAACGGAUGAACUUAGUCUUCUCUGCAGUGAUGCAAGCCUCUGUCAUGUGGAAGUUACAGACAAUGCUAGUGAAAUGUGGAUGGUCUCCUGGCCCACCGCAUCAUGCAAGAGGGCUGCUUUACAGAGGCCAACCCUUGAAAGACUUGAUAUAUUUCUAGUAACAAUCAUGAAGACACUCUUCAGAGAAAAUUCCAGACAAGAACAGCAUCUAAGCCUCACCUACUUUUUGGUUAUAUCAUUCUUGCAUAACCUGCCAAAGGCAGCUAGAGGGGAACACAGUCUCUGGAUGUCCACUGACAGAGAGUUACCAAUUUACACUUCAUUCCUGACUAUUAGGAGUUAUAAAAACAAGAGAGAAUACUAUUGCAAGCCAGUAGAAAUAAAGACGGGAGUGUCCAUGGGAAAUGAAAAGAAAGGCACAGCCCUCUUCAGAUCCUGAAAAGGAGAUUUAAAUUUGCCUUUUAAGAGUAACACAACACAGAACCAUUCUGGAAGUAUAUUGUUCCAAUAUAACAUUUCGGUAUAGAUGUUAUGAAGGGAGGAAAAAUGGUAGAGGGCAAAUAUCUAUAGGACAAUGGAGUAGAGGAACAGAACAAAGUGCUGAGAAAGGGCUUGGUGAAAUGGGAAGGAAAAACAAUUCCAAAUGGCAACAAUGCACAAAGUAAUUUCAGGCUCUGUGUGUGUGUGUAUCUCCAUUGUUUUCAAGGAUCAGUUUUAAUUUCUUUGAAAAAUAGAAGCUCAAAGAUAAGUAGCAAAGAAUGUAUUGCCAAUGAAAAGACUCUCAAGUCAGCAUGUGUGUCAGGGCAGCUGCAGAUAGUGGUGUAGGCUGUGCACUGCACAAAAGCACCACAUCUAGAGGGGCAUGAUUAACAUCACAGACAUCAGAUUUACUGUGACAAUAUUCCAGUAGAUGGCAGUGUACUAAGGGAGGGAAUCUUUUUAAAAUGUACAAUGGCACCAUGAGGCCCCAAAACAGCCUUGACUUCACCAAAAAGAAAUGAAUGUCCUAACUGAAGGGACUCCGUGAAAUUAGUAGCAAUUUCUGUUCUUUGGAAAUAGAAUGCUCAUUGCAUUUAAUUUUAAAGUCACAACAUGUAAAGGGUAAAGAGAAUACAUGGAGACCUCCUUAGAUAUCAAUUUCAUUUGCUCUGUUUCUGGUUUCUUUUCUUAAUUGCUUCUGUCUAAUUCAGUGUUCUCUAAAAGUAAUAUUUUACUUUUUAAGGUAAUAUAGCAUUAUUCUUUUAUUCCUUCCAAAGAACUGAAAAGGGAAAAUUGUGCGAAUUGAGGCAACACAUCAUGCUUUUACAAAUUUGUGCAAUUUCUAUUACUGAAUCAUAAAUAUUUAAGGAUACGCAUUCGAACCAUCAGGAAAAUUUUACAUUGGAUGAUUCCAAGUGAAUGUCUUUUAGUAAACACUAUGUGCCAUUAUCUAAAUCACAGAAAAAUAGCCUGCAUUUCAAAUUCUGAAAAUUGGGCAAAUUAAAUAUUGGUCUGCACAGCAUGAUAUGAGUCUAUCUUUCUCUGAUUUUCCCACUUCUGCUUUUUGUCUAGUAAUGGAGAAAAGAACAAUUCAGGCAAACUCUUCCUUGCUUUUGGAACAAAGCAAGCCAGGUGUGAGAAAGUAUUUGUUAUAGGCCUGCAAUUUUAUACCCCCAUGGACACUGAAUUAUUAAUGGGGAAAAGAGAGAACAAAUAACCAAGAGAGGGUUCUUGGCAGCCAUUGUUUGAAGUUCAUGGUGUUACACAACAUUGAGCAUGUCCAAUUCACCUGCCAGGAGCUAUCUGAUUCUUACUCUAGGGUUCCAUUUUCCUAUUUCGAUCUUAUCCAGCAUCUGGCUGGGUGAUGGUCCAUGUCAAAGGACGUAGAUCUUCUUUUUAUUCCAUUAAACUUUGAGAUCUGAUUAUGA